UCCAAGCGGACCAUUCCAAGGCACUGUGGACCUAAGUAUUAAGACAAAGUACGCCUUAUAAAACAUCAGGACUUCCUUUUGUCGUUAUAAAACAAGUGAGGUUUGAAGGUACUUCGUCUAGUUCUUCCGGUGAAGCUGGAAUGAGAAAACGAAGGAGGAGAGGGGGGUUGGGGGAACGACACAGAAAAGCAAGAAAACUUAAGGUCACUGGGAAUGAAUCCAUGGCAGAGGAGAUUGAAGAGCAGAUUUUUCAAGACUGUAAUAUAAUUUGUCCAUUUAUCAUCGCUGAAUGUGUUUCAGCCCCUCUCUUCCCCAAGGAUGAGGAGAACCCCCCCCUUAGAAUGGAUUUCACCGCUUGUAAGUUAAACAUCUCUAUAGGUCAACACCAAUGAAGGCAUUGAUGCAUCCUUU